UAUGGCGUCCAUUGUUCAUUUGGCGCGCCUUUGCGGCGAUUUCUUCAAUCUACAUCAAUCCACCUGGUAUUUUAAAGAAGAAUAAUAAUAUUUCUUACUGCCCUGAUGUUCAACAAUGUCUACAAAUUGUAAAUAUUUUUCUCCUAACAGCUACAAUCAAUGGGCGAUAAUCAGAUGAAACGUAAUCAAAUCCAGGUUUCUGAAUCGCCAGGAGAGUAAUUAGGGGAAUUUGUCUGCUAAUGUUGUCCAAUACAUGAAGGAUGGGUGUUUGUUGCAGAGCAGCUCCUGGAGGAGAUCGGGCAUUGCCGAGUCGCAGUUCAAUUCAUUUGGUGUCAAGAAGAGAGAAGAAGGGGUGGAUUUGCAGUCAUCGUUUUUUCUUUUCUGAUGAAAUUCACAAUAUUUCAGCUUUGGCGUUCAAAUAAAUUCAAAAGAAGGAAGGAUGUGAACGAGGUGCAGGGCGGAGCAGUACCAACGUGCUCCAACGUGGGAUUCACCG